UGGUGAAUAUUGCACAAUGGAGGGAACUCUGAUGCAGCGACGCCGCGUGAACGAAGAAGGCUUUCGAGUCGUAAAGUUCUUUUAUAUGGGAAGAUAAUGACGGUACCAUAAGAAAAAGCCCCGGCUAACUACGUGCCAGCAGCCGCGGUAAUACGUAGGGGGCUAGCGUUGUCCGGAAUCACUGGGCGUAAAGGGUUCGCAGGCGGAAAUGCAAGUCAGGUGUAAAAGGCAGUAGCUUAACUACUGUAAGCAUUUGAAACUGCAUAUCUUGAGAAGAGUAGAGGUAAGUGGAAUUUUUAGUGUAGCGGUGAAAUGCGUAGAUAUUAAAAAGAAUACCGGUGGCGAAGGCGGCUUACUGGGCUCAUUCUGACGCUGAGGAACGAAAGCGUGGGUAGCAAACAGG
rnacentral:rRNA from 1 species